rnacentral:rRNA from 1 species
GACGAACGCUGGCGGCGUGGAUUAGGCAUGCAAGUCGGACGGUAGGGCUUUAUCGUAAGAUAGAGUUUGAGAGUGGCGAACGGGUGAGUAACACGUAGGAAUCUACCCUUAAGACGGGGACAACCCAGGGAAACUUGGGCUAAUACCGGAUGAGAGUGCGAGAGAUUGCAUUUAAAAGGAUGGCGAAAGUUGUCGCUUAGGGAUGAGCCUGCGGUCUAUUAGCUAGUUGGUGAGGUAACGGCCCACCAAGGCGACGAUUGGUAGCCGAACUGAGAGGUUGAUCGGCCGCAUUGGGACUGAGACACGGCCCAGACUCCUACGGGAGGCAGCAGUGGGGAGUAUUGCGCAAUGGAGGAAACUCUGACGCAGCAACGCCGCGUGAAGGAUGAAGGUUUUCGGAUUGUAAACUUCUUUGAUCGGGGACGAAAUAGACGGUACCCGAGGAACAAGCCACGGCUAACUACGUGCCAGCAGCCGCGGUAAGCAUACUCGUA